UGGGGAAUAUUGCACAAUGGGGGAAACCCUGAUGCAGCGACGCCGCGUGAGCGAAGAAGGUUUUCGAAUCGUAAAGCUCUGUCCUAUGGGAAGAUAAUGACGGUACCAUAGGAGGAAGCCCCGGCUAACUACGUGCCAGCAGCCGCGGUAAUACGUAGGGGGCAAGCGUUGUCCGGAAUCACUGGAAGUGAAGGGUUCGCAGGCGGAAAUGCAAGUCAGUUGUGAAAGGCAGAGGCUCAACCUCUGUAAGCAAUUGAAACUGUAUUUCUUGAGAUGUGGAGAGGCAAGUGGAAUUCCUAGUGUAGCGGUGAAAUGCGUAGAUAAUAUGAAGAAUACCGGAGGCGAAGGCGACUUGCUGGACACAAACUAACGCUGAGGAACGAAAGCGUGGGUAGCAAACAGG
rnacentral:rRNA from 1 species